CUUACAUUAAUUACUUAAUAUUUUACUAAUAGAUGAUUAUUAAUUAAGGGUAGAUUAGUAAAUGUAUUUUUUUUACAUACAAUUAAGAAAAUUAAAUACACUCACUGCAUAGAAGAUACUUUGGUUAUAGUGAUGAUUGCUGCAUUUGUAGUUGUUGGGUUCAUAGUGCUAUUUGCUCUCAUCUUUGCCACUUCUUUGAAGCUCUUCAAUUUCCAAAGGAGAUAGAAUAGAAUAAUAGAUGUUUUCAAAUGAAUGUUGGUGUAUAUAUAUAGAUCACUAUAGUGUAAACUAAAUAGUAGAGGAAAAAAAUACAGAAAA
rnacentral:lncRNA from 1 species